ensembl:lncRNA
AGAGAGGAUCUGCGUGUAGAUACUUGAGCUACAGCUGCUACCUGACUGUUCCUAUUAGGAGGGUUGGCCAAAGUUUUCCAGUCCCAAGACUUCUUCACCCUACAUGCUAGAGGGCUAAUGAUAAGGUACAGUUCUUGAAGAGCAACCUUUAGUCUUUGUCUCUCCACAAAGCCUGAUUUCAUACUCUACUACUGGCAAGAGGGAAUUCACCUACUUCCCAACAUUUUAAUGGUUUGUCAGUUAAAACUGAUAUAAACAAGCGUGAAUGUUAGUCUACAGGUGAUGAGCCAUGUGAAGGAAAAGAAAAUUACAUUUAUAAAGUAAAAAUUUAUAAACCAUUCAGCACAGUGAAAAAUGUAGUAAAACCUUAUCCUGCUUCCACAGAGCUCCACAGCAAAGUUCAGAAGUCUGUUGAAUCUGGGAAAUGCAUAAAGUGUCAAACGGCUCAUAUUAGUGUGUAACAACGCACUAUGCUAUAAGCACAGGAAGGCCUGGUCUCCUUUUCAAAGAGUUAGUACAAUUGUUAUAUAAUCAAUCAGGAAGUUAAAAAUGAUAUAGCCAUAAAAAUACUUGGAGAGGACUCAUAUAAAGUAUUCUACCGCCUUUGUUUCAUUUGCUUCAGAAAUGAGUACACGCAAAAUUCACCUCCACCCUCCAUUAAAUAUCUGCUUGGUUUCCAGUCUUUGGAGUUAAUGAACAACAGUAUUGCAUUUUUUAUGUGCCCAUCCAUAAUCAUAUUUACUAUAGGUAAGAUUUUAUGUCUUCAUCUUUGUAGAAGAUGGUGUUUACUUUUAUCAGGAAUAGUAAAACUGGUUUGGCUUUGUUCUGAAACCUCCACUGAUGACAUAAGCAUUUCUGUGGCCAGGGUUUCUACUUUAUUGCUGAAGUGGGGAAGGAACAGAAAGUUUCUGGCAUUUACAAACAUGCGGUCAAAGUAAUCUGAGGCAAGCAGAUUCAGAAUGGAUUUAAACUCACGGCUAUAAAAUUUGUGGUGUUUCAAACACACCAUGAGCAGGCAACAAGCAAAAUUCUGCACCCCAAGAAUGUGAGAUUCUUCAUACAGUCAAAGCUCUCUGAGGUACGGAGCCCUCCUGGCUGUUGUGUUAGCAUGAGGGUUGUAACCACUCUUAUUUUCAAAUCUCAAUCAGCUGAAAUUCAUCCCUGUUAUAGUUUUGGUCACUGGCUGGAAUACUGAGUACACGUCAACAAAGCACAGAAGCAAGAUUGGAUUUGUAAUUUUAAGGCUGCCUGUUUUGUGUGGAAAUUUCUGCAGCAGUCUACCAAUUUAAAACACUUACAUGAAAAAUGCAGUUUUCAAUCAUUUCUUACUGUAGAUUCCACUACCUCAAAAAGAAGACCAGUCUUCAGGUAAUAUCAGCUAUUACUAAGUCACUUUAUUUAAACUAAUGACUUUGCCUUUGGUACAAAGAAGGAAAUGGCACCAUUUAUGGCCAGAUCUAUUCCUCCAGGUCUGCAGCACUAGAGGUAGCUUUCUCCUGAUCACUUCUGACCAUCCCUAGUCAUCUCUUGGACACCCCUGACCAUUUCUUUAUGCUGUGAUAUGAAUAUAGAAAAUCCAGGGGGCAUGCACCCACGCUCGGCGGCAGCUUUGAACAGUUCUCAUGGAAUAUUCUGUAUUACUGUUGUUUCCUUUUUACUUUGAAACUGAAGAGUCUGGGUGCUGGCAGCACCAGUUUUGGCAUGGCCCUUGAAGCCAUGCUGUCUGGUAGAUGAGACUGAACCUCUGAUCUGGUGGGAGGAGAUGACUCUGCAGGAAAUACCCUACAGCUCCAGGGUAACAAAACUGAGUGGAAACAAUGAAGGCAUGUCUAUGCAGAGGAAAGGAAUGCGAUGAAGACAUUCUCUGCCUUCGCCUCAAACAUGUUGGUUUCUUUGUAUGAAGUAGAGAAGUUUUGGGGCCUGAGCUGGCUGCAGUGGUGUGGCAUCAGAGUGGGGCUGAGACAGCUGUGGGGUUCCACCUGCUUACAGUGUUGUGUACCAAGGGACAUACAGUGCUCUUCUUCCAUAGCGUGGAUGGGCAUGGCUUUAUCACUCCCUUCCCCCGUUGUGAAUUUCCACUUGCUCCCCCUCCAUUUACUCCUAGCUGAAUUGUUGGGCAGAAAACACUCAGGUGAAAAAAUUAUUGCUGCAAAGACAUAAUAAAGAACUUUAGAGGAUGCUCUAUGUGACUGCUGUCUCUCUCACAUCAUUUUUUGUAAGUCGGGCUUUUAUGAAGCGUUGAAUUUAAAAAUAAAUCAUGUUUUAAAAAAAACUCAAGCAAUCUCUUAAAAAUUUUGAAACUGAAUUACGAAGUAGAAAAUAAAAGGC